UAAACUAGGAUUAGAUACCCUAUUAUUAUAAAUGUAAAUUUAAGAUACUUAAUUAGUAUUAGUUAUUUUCUUGAAAAUUAAAAAAUUUGGCGGUAUUUUAGUCUUUUCAGAGGAACCUGUCCUGUAAUUGAUAAUCCACGAUUAUAUAUACUUUAAUUUUUAGUUUACAUAUCGUUGUAGAUUGAAUAUUUUAAUAGAAUUUGAAUAUUCAAGAUUUUUUAUUAAAAAAUAAAUCAGAUCAAGGUGUAGCUUAUAUUUAAGAAGAGAUGGGUUACAUUAAAAUUAUUUUAGAAUAUUUUUUUUUAAAAGGAAUUGAAUUUGGAUUUGAUAGUAAUUUAAUAUAUUUAUUUAAAAUGAUUAUAGCUCUAAAAUAUGCACACAUCGCCCGUCGCUCUUAA
rnacentral:rRNA from 1 species